rnacentral:rRNA from 1 species
AUACAUGCAAGUCGAGCGGACCGACGGGAGCUUGCUCCCUUAGGUCAGCGGCGGACGGGUGAGUAACACGUGGGUAACCUGCCUGUAAGACUGGGAUAACUCCGGGAAACCGGGGCUAAUACCGGAUGCUUGAUUGAACCGCAUGGUUCAAUCAUAAAAGGCGGCUUCGGCUGCCGUUUACAGAUGGACCCGCGGCGCAUUAGCUAGUUGGUGAGGUAACGGCUCACCAAGGCGACGAUGCGUAGCCGACCUGAGAGGGUGAUCGGCCACACUGGGACUGAGACACGGCCCAGACUCCUACGGGAGGCAGCAGUAGGGAAUCUUCCGCAAUGGACGAAAGUCUGACGGAGCAACGCCGCGUGAGUGAUGAAGGUUUUCGGAUCGUAAAGCUCUGUUGUUAGGGAAGAACAAGUACCGUUCGAAUAGGGCGGUACCUUGACGGUACCUAACCAGAAAGCCACGGCUAACUACGUGCCAGCAGCCGCGGUAAUACGUAGGUGGCAAGCGUUGUCCGGAAUUAUUGGGCGUAAAGCGCGCGCAGGCGGUUUUCUUAAGUCUGAUGUGAAAGCCCCCGGCUCAACCGGGGAGGGUCAUUGGAAACUGGGGAACUUGAGUGCAGAAGAGGAGAGU